rnacentral:rRNA from 1 species
CUGCGGCAGCGACACUGUGUGUUGUUGGGUAGGGGAGCGUUCUGUAAGCCUGUGAAGGUGUGUCGUGAGGCAUGCUGGAGGUAUCAGAAGUGCGAAUGCUGACAUAAGUAACGAUAAAGCGGGUGAAAAGCCCGCUCGCCGGAAGACCAAGGGUUCCUGUCCAACGUUAAUCGGGGCAGGGUGAGUCGACCCCUAAGGCGAGGCCGAAAGGCGUAGUCGAUGGGAAACGGGUUAAUAUUCCCGUACUUGGUGUUACUGCGAAGGGGGGACGGAGAAGGCUAUGUUGGCCGGGCGACGGUUGUCCCGGUUUAAGCGUGUAGGUGUGUGUUCCAGGUAAAUCCGGUUCACUUUAACACUGAGGCGUGACGACGAGGCACUACGGUGCUGAAGCAACAAAUGCCCUGCUUCCAGGAAAAGCCUCUAAGCAUCAGGUAACAUCAAAUCGUACCCCAAACCGACACAGGUGGUCAGGUAGAGAAUACCAAGGCGCUUGAGAGAACUCGGGUGAAGGAACUAGGCAAAAUGGUGCCGUAACUUCGGGAGAAGGCACGCUGACACGUAGGUGAAGUGAUUUACUCAUGGAGCUGAAGUCAGUCGAAGAUACCAGCUGGCUGCAACUGUUUAUUAAAAACACAGCACUGUGCAAACACGAAAGUGGACGUAUACGGUGUGACGCCUGCCCGGUGCCGGAAGGUUAAUUGAUGGGGUCAGCGCAAGCGAAGCUCCUGAUCGAAGCCCCGGUAAACGGCGGCCGUAACUAUAACGGUCCUAAGGUAGCGAAAUUCCUUGUCGGGUAAGUUCCGACCUGCACGAAUGGCGUAAUGAUGGCCAGGCUGUCUCCACCCGAGACUCAGUGAAAUUGAACUCGCUGUGAAGAUGCAGUGUACCCGCGGCAAGACGGAAAGACCCCGUGAACCUUUACUAUAGCUUGACACUGAACAUUGAGCCUUGAUGUGUAGGAUAGGUGGGAGGCUUUGAAGUGUGGACGCCAGUCUGCAUGGAGCCGACCUUGAAAUACCACCCUUUAAUGUUUGAUGUUCUAACGUGGACCCGUUACCCGGGUUGCGGACAGUGUCUGGUGGGUAGUUUGACUGGGGCGGUCUCCUCCUAAAGAGUAACGGAGGAGCACGAAGGUUGGCUAAUCCUGGUCGGACAUCAGGAGGUUAGUGCAAUGGCAUAAGCCAGCUUGACUGCGAGCGUGACGGCGCGAGCAGGUGCGAAAGCAGGUCAUAGUGAUCCGGUGGUUCUGAAUGGAAGGGCCAUCGC